UACGUGGGGUGCAAGCGUUAAUCGGAAUUACUGGGCGUAAAGCGUGCGCAGGCGGUUUUGUAAGUCUGACGUGAAAUCCCCGGGCUCAACCUGGGAAUUGCGUUGGAGACUGCAAGGCUAGAAUCUGGCAGAGGGGGGUAGAAUUCCACGUGUAGCAGUGAAAUGCGUAGAGAUGUGGAGGAACACCGAUGGCGAAGGCAGCCCCCUGGGUCAAGAUUGACGCUCAUGCACGAAAGCGUGGGGAGCAAACAGG
rnacentral:rRNA from 1 species